rnacentral:rRNA from 1 species
UGCGUAGGGUGCGAGCGUUGUCCGGAAUUACUGGGCGUAAAGAGCUCGUAGGUGGUUUGUCGCGUUGUUCGUGAAAACUCACAGCUUAACUGUGGGCGUGCGGGCGAUACGGGCAGACUGGAGUACUGCAGGGGAGACUGGAAUUCCUGGUGUAGCGGUGGAAUGCGCAGAUAUCAGGAGGAACACCGGUGGCGAAGGCGGGUCUCUGGGCAGUAACUGACGCUGGAGGAGCGAAAGCGUGGGGAGCGAACAGG